rnacentral:rRNA from 1 species
CUACGGGAUGCACCAGUGGGGAAUAUUGCACAAUGGGCGCAAGCCUGAUGCAGCCAUGCCGCGUGUAUGAAGAAGGCCUUCGGGUUGUAAAGUACUUUCAGCGGGGAGGAAGGGAGUAAAGUUAAUACCUUUGCUCAUUGACGUUACCCGCAGAAGAAGCACCGGCUAACUCCGUGCCAGCAGCUGCGGUAAUACGGAGGGUGCAAGCGUUAAUCGGAAUUACUGGGCGUAAAGCGCACGCAGGCGGUUUGUUAAGUCAGAUGUGAAAUCCCCGGGCUCAACCUGGGAACUGCAUCUGAUACUGGCAAGCUUGAGUCUCGUAGAGGGGGGUAGAAUUCCAGGUGUAGCGGUGAAAUGCGUAGAGAUCUGGAGGAAUACCGGUGGCGAAGGCGGACCCCUGGACGAAGACUGACGCUCAGGUGCGAAAGCGUGAGGAGCAAACAGGAUUAGAUACCCUUGUACUC